AGUGAUUUAUUUCAGCCCACAGAGGGUGCUGUUGUCCGUGGCCUGAAUACCAGCGAUGGCAGACAGGUCCACAGGAAUACCCACAGUCCUGGAGCAGAGCUGCCCUCUUCCUGCAGCACUAUGAACACUCCAGAAGAGUCAGCAAAGAUCUCCCCCUUUACAUGAGAAAUACUCAAAAUACUUGGACGAUGGAUCGAUGCAUCGAAUCGGUCAAAUACCCAUCAAUGGAUCAAAACAAAAUGAAUAACGUGAAACCAUGUUACAUUCAUCAAUUUGAUUAGGACAAAAUAAAAUUAUGUAAAACUGUACUCUAGUUCCCUGAUAUUGCUUAGUUUUUUUUUGUUUUUUUUGUUUUACUAUUUCUUUCAAAAUCCCACCCCCACACAUACUUACACACUUGCAAUUUCUGACAAGACGUGGUGACGUAUGCCUCUGAAACCUCAUUACACGUUACUGAAGAUCCACUGCUGUGGUUGAAAAAUAACCAGACAUGCUUUUCAAAACUAGCAACCAUGGCAAUGUACAUGUUAAAUGUCUCAUUAACAUUAGUCCCAAGUGAGUGGGUGUCCAGCAAGGCCAGGAUGAUG